GCCUUCCCGCGCGGGAGCCGGCCUCAGCCUGUGAAACCGCACUCCUGUUAGCUAAUUCAGAGGACAUUCCAGGGUCUGCAUAGGGCAGAGAAGCUGGCUCAGGGCUGCAGCUGGCUUGAGUCUCUUUGUGUCCCACCCUGUCUAGUGGGAUCUGUUGCAUCUCGGUGGCAGAGCUGUCCUUUCCAUCCUCCGGCAGCCGGUUCCCGCAGUAGAGGCGCCAGCAUGCUUCCACUCACUGUGGCUGCACACUGCAAAGCAGAGGCCACUCCAACAGCAAGACCACCAGAACGGAGCCCACAUGUAGAGGUCUCUGCCUUCACAUCAUGGCCAUUCUGGGCAGUGCCUUUUCUCACCAUACUCUGGGUUCACAGUUUCUGGGAAGCACCUCAGGGCCUCACCAUGACCGGUCCCCUUGAGUCUGCCCUUCCUCCUUCCCUGGCAUGUCUUCAAACAGGAAGAUGCUGACCUGGCCUCUAGUGAAAUA